CAAGUUCCACUUGGUUUAGUAAGCAUUUCUAUUGGUCGAGAGCAAAGUCUUUUGUAUUUCACUAAAAUAGAAUUGCAAACUAAAUCAAAACACAAUCUCUCCGUGCACCCCUAACUUAUUCUCUCUAUAUAUCCCAAAAUAACUCUUAGUGAUUAUCGCCGUAAACAGUCAGUCAAAUAUAGAUAAAAUAGCUCUUGAAGGUUACAUUCAUGAGUUAACAGAAGUAAAAACAGCAAAUAACAGGAAAAGAACCAGCUAUUUUAAACUCAAUUUGCAAACUUCAUCAACGGAUACUGUCCAGAUGGUAUGUUAUUCUCCCAAGAAAAGAAAGACUCUCCAGCCACACUUCCAAGCUAAAAGUCCUGUUAAGUUAGAAGCUUUGAAAAAGAAUGACAAAGAAUAUACGAUCGACAAAAAUGCCCAAAUCGUACAAUAUAAGGAGGUCCACUUUGAGUUCAAUAAUUCACUCGAUGAUCACUUGCUUACAAUAGAACAGGCGCUUGGUAGCAACGAGUACACCAAGGUCGAUCUCAAAGGCAAAAUCAUGAAGAAAGACGAAACCAAGCAAAGGAUAAUAAAGGGCAACAAUGAAACUUACAAAAUCGACAGUAUCUUAGCAGAUCAGAGUGACUCCAUAAAAUUAGUUUUAUGGGAAAACAAGAUCGAGGAGGUAGUUGCUCGUAAAUCAUACCAUUUCCAAAACCUCACCGUUAGAGUUUAUCAAGAUGAGAAAUAUGUGAACACAAAACCCGAACACAUCAAUCAAGGAAAUAGACGAAAAUAUCAACGUGAACUUGGAUACACCGGAAAUCCAAAGUAACCUCUUAAAGGGACAAGUUAUCGGACAGAUAAAACGAAACAGGUCCUGCUUAAUCUGCAACCAGAUUUGCACCAAGCUUGAUGACACAGAAGAAGAUAUGUUUACAUGUGGACAUUGUCAUAUGACAACCCUCAAAUCUCUUUGUCAAGAAAAAGUAGUUUGCAGUAUUAUGAUAAAAAGCGAGAAAGAGUAGUCUUCAUUACCCAAUAUCACGUCAAACAGCUCAAGAAUACCAGUAUCUUUGAGAGCUAAGGAUAUGACAAAACAAAAUUAGCCUGGCUAUCUUCAAUGGUAUACUUAAAGAUGUAAGACAUAUCUUUCACAAAGCCAGCUAUUAUACACUCCUCUCUUUUUAUAAGAACAUCUAAUUUUUAGUUGAGGCUGGGCCGUUCUUAUUUUUGGAGCAUUUUGAGGCUGAAAAAGUUCUUAUGGAUGAUCUUAAAUUUCAGUGUAUAAAAAUAUUAUACUUCAUGAAUAUAAGAAAAUUACACACAUAAUAAAAUAACAAUGAUGUU